UACCAGCACCCCGAGUGGUCGGGACGAUUAUUGGGCCUAAAGCAUCCGUAGCCGGUUCUACAAGUCUUCCGUUAAAUCCACAUGCUUAACAGAUGGGCUGCGGAGGAUACUAUGGAGCUAGGAGGCGGGAGAGGCAAGCGGUACUUAGUGGGUAGGGGUAAAAUCCGUUGAUCCAUUGAAGACCACCAGUGGCGAAGGCGGCUUGCCAGAACGCACUCGACGGUGAGGGAUGAAAGCUGGGGGAGCAAACCGG
rnacentral:rRNA from 1 species